rnacentral:rRNA from 2 species
UAGCAAGUCGGUCCCACCCCUUCCCAUCCCGAACAGGACCGUGAAACGACUUUGCGCCGAUGAUAGUGCUGCAACCAGUGUGAAAGUAGGUUAUCGUCAGGC